AUUGAACGCUGGCGGCAUGCCUUACACAUGCAAGUCGAACGGCAGCGCGGACUUCGGUCUGGCGGCGAGUGGCGAACGGGUGAGUAAUACAUCGGAACGUACCCUGUUGUGGGGGAUAACUAGUCGAAAGAUUAGCUAAUACCGCAUACGACCUGAGGGUGAAAGUGGGGGACCGCAAGGCCUCACGCAGCAGGAGCGGCCGAUGUCUGAUUAGCUAGUUGGUGGGGUAAAGACCCACCAAGGCGACGAUCAGUAGCUAGUCUGAGAGGACGAUCAGCCACACUGGGACUGAGACACGGCCCAGACUCCUACGGGAGGCAGCAGUGGGGAAUUUUGGACAAUGGGGGCAACCCUGAUCCAGCAAUGCCGCGUGUGUGAAGAAGGCCUUCGGGUUGUAAAGCACUUUUGUCCGGAAAGAAAUCGCGCUGGUUAAUACCUGGCGUGGAUGACGGUACCGGAAGAAUAAGCACCGGCUAACUACGUG
rnacentral:rRNA from 1 species